UACGUAGGGGGCUAGCGUUGUCCGGAAUCAUUGGGCGUAAAGCGCGUGUAGGCGGUCCGGUAAGUCCGCUGUGAAAGUCGGGGGCUCAACCCUGGGAUGCCGGUGGAUACUGUCGGACUAGAGUACGGAAGAGGCGAGUGGAAUUCCCGGGUGUAGCGGUGAAAUGCGCAGAUAUCGGGGAGGAACACCAAUGGCGAAGGCAGCUCGCUGGGACGGUACUG
rnacentral:rRNA from 1 species